UUUUUUAGGGAAAAUCUGGCCUGUCCACAAGGACAGGCCAGGGAAUUUUUGU
rfam:HIV-1 isolate 01SE-21665 from Sweden gag-pol fusion polyprotein gene, partial cds.